AAGGCCUACGGGGGGCAGCAGUGAGGAAUAUUGGUCAAUGGACGAGAGUCUGAACCAGCCAAGUAGCGUGAAGGAUGACUGCCCUAUGGGUUGUAAACUUCUUUUAUAUGGGAAUAAAACGUUCCACGUGUGGGAUUUUGUAUGUACCAUAUGAAUAAGGAUCGGCUAACUCCGUGCCAGCAGCCGCGGUAAUACGGAGGAUCCGAGCGUUAUCCGGAUUUAUUGGGUUUAAAGGGAGCGUAGGUGGAUUGUUAAGUCAGUUGUGAAAGUUUGCGGCUCAACCGUAAAAUUGCAGUUGAAACUGG
rnacentral:rRNA from 1 species